rnacentral:rRNA from 1 species
GACGUAGGGCGCAAGCGUUGUCCGGAUUUAUUGGGCGUAAAGAGCUCGUAGGCGGCUGGUCGCGUCGACUGUGAAAUCCCGAGGCUCAACCUCGGGUCUGCAGUCGAUACGAGCAAACUAGAGUGUUGCAGGGGAGACUGGAAUUCCUGGUGUAGCGGUGAAAUGCGCAGAUAUCAGGAGGAACACCGGUGGCGAAGGCGGGUCUCUGGGCAACAACUGACGCUGAGGAGCGAAAGCGUGGGGAGCGAACAGG